UAAGGAAUAUUGCUCAAUGGGAGAAAUCCUGAAGCAGCAACGCCGCGUGGAGGAUGAAGGGUCUAUGACUUGUAAACUCCUGUAAAGAAGGAAAAAAUUCCCAUUAGAUGGGAGAUGAUGGUACUUCUGGAGUAAGCCCCGACUAACUACGUGCCAGCAGCCGCGGUAAUACGUAGGGGGCAAGCGUUGUCCGGAUUUACUGGGUGUAAAGGGUGCUCAGGCGGAUUUGUAAGUCAGAGGUGAAAUCUUACAGCUUAACUGUGAAACUGCCUUUGAUACUGCAAGCCUAGAGUAUGGAAGAGAGUGAUGGAAUAUCUGGUGUAGCAGUGAAAUGCGUAGAUAUCAGAUAGAACACCAAUGGCGAAGGCAGUCACUUGGUCCAUUACUGACGCUAAAGCACGAAAGCGUGGGUAGCAAACA
rnacentral:rRNA from 1 species